AACAUAAAAAACAACAAACGUUUUCUGCGCGCGUUCCCCCAAGAAGUCCUGUGUGCCGUUCCAGCAGCAAAUUUCCACCGUUUGGCUGUCGACUGAAGGGAAUCGGUAGCCGUCGUGAUUAUCAGGACAGACAAGAAAAAAGCCACCAGCGAUGUUUGCAACAGAAAGAAUUUUUCUGUAUGUGUGCGUGCUCCAUUCCCGUAUACGAUUCAGAAUACGGUACGCAUAACGUUGGAAGAACGUCAUAUCGGAUCGUUUUAUAAUUAUUACUGUAAAUGUUCAGUUACAAGUGAACUUUAAGAAUGACUCUAACAUAAACAGUUUGAUGGCAAGAA